GCGGGCGUGGCGGAAUUGGUAGACGCGCCAGGUUUAGGUCCUGGUGAAGCAAUUCGUGGGGGUUCGAGUCCCUUCGCCCGUA
rnacentral:tRNA from 1 species